rnacentral:lncRNA from 1 species
GGGUUUAUCUGUCACCUGCCUCUCAACCCCCAUAAUAUCUCAUACCACUGCCUGUCACUUAAUGCUCAGCAGUGAAGGCUGCUGUUUUUGUUUUUGUUUUCCUUAUAUAAAUACUAUAAAUAAUGUUUCCUAAUAGUCUAUGCUGACAGUAAAACCUGGUCUUAGACCAAGUUUUCUUCUAAGAGAUUGGGUGACCUUGGGCAAGAUGGUAACCUCUUUAGGCCUCAAUUGUUUCUUAAAAAAGGAAAAUAAAAAAAGAAAGAAGAAGAGUAGAUAACAUAAUGCAGACCACAGAGAAUUUUUCCUUAAAGUGCAUCACAUAGAACACCAAAUCUGUGGGAUGUUAGAAAUGUUAUGAGAGAAAAAUAUUUCUGUGGUCAAAUGACCUUGAUAAACACUGGAUAAAGAAGCCAGGAGGUCUGGCACUGAGAUAGAGCCCAAACUGAGAGAAGAAGAGAGAGAGAGAGAGAGAGAGAGAGAGAGAGAGAGAGAGAGACAGAGACAGAGAGAGAGAGAGAGAGAGAGAGAGAGAGAGAGAGAGAGAGAGAGAGAGAAAUAGAGAGAGAGAGAUUAUUGUUUGAUGACAUCCAGCCUCUUACAAAACUAUGGGUGAGGCCAUCCUAAACCAGUUGCCAGCUGAGCCACAGAUGCUGAGGAAGAUCAGUUAAUCCUGGCCCAGGCCGGUAUAACUGCUCAGCUGACCUCCAAAUUCAAAGCUAACUUUUGGAAUGGUUUGUUAUGCAGCUUAGGUUACUGAUACAAAGAGGAGGGAAGGUGUGGGGAUGGACCUUGGGAAUUCGCAAGCUAACUUUUGGAAUGGUUUGUUAUGCAGCUUAGGUAACUGAUACAAAGGGGAGGGAAGGUGUGGGGAUGGACCUUGGGAAUUCCAGAAGACAAUACAAUGAGAUGUGGUGCCUAAGUGUCCAAGUCCCCUAGGUCCUCCCCCACCGCCUCCCCAAGGUCUGAGUGGCAGGUAUUGAAGUACCUGCUCAUGUUCACACCUCAGGGAAUCUGAUAGCCCUGAAGGCCCUUGAACAGAGCUGGCUGAGCAAAGAAUGGGACUUGAUUCAAGGGUAACCCAUCCACUGAUUGACCACCUAUGAGUUGUGACCUGGCUCCAAAAGAUGAACUGGGCCAAUCAAAGCCUUCCCUGGCAAUUAAUGAGAGCAUUGUGGGGCCAGAGCUGAAAGGUCACGGGUGAGCCAUUAAAGGCCCCUGUGAAGUGGAGAAGCAGAGAUGUUGUUUAGAAGCGAACAACGUUGUUCAGAUGCGCAGAGAGACACAGAGCAGCCCUGGGAGAUAGAUGGGCGAGAGACGGGCUCUUCUCAUUUUCAGCUCCAGCAGGGUGAUCAUCUGGAUCCAGGGAGUAGACAACCACUCAGGCUGGUACAAGAAGAUGCAUGUGUACUAUAAGGCUGCGGGGCCAUCUCCAAGAACCAUAUGCAAGACAUAUAAGCAUUUGUGGAAAAGGAGAAACUGGAGAGUCAUCAAACAGAACAAUCUCUCUCUCUCUCAGGCAGGCUUUCAAGAAGGUCAUCCCUCUUCGAACUUGAGGGAGGGCUUGCUUUCUUACAGGGACUCUCCCCGUCAUGCUUUCAGCAAGAGGCGUGGGUAAACAUACGCUUUCUCAGUCUGCUCUCUGGGUACAUUCUCACCUCACACUCCCUCAUCCCUCCUUCGACCACUGGCUUUCUAUCUUGAACUGUCUUAAGGGGAAGAUUCCAAAUUUGGGCUUGCGCUUUGCGGGAAAUAGGUCUCGUGGGUCUGAGGCAGGUGUCACUAGGUCCGGCUCAACCAACCAGGGUUUUGUGGAUGAUGUUGAUUCAAAGCCAUUGCCAAAAUAAAACAAAUCUUGGACUUCCAAUUGCCUUUGGAAUCUUGUUCAAAUAUCACUACCAGGAAACUCUUGGAGAGCUAGGACUGUGAAUUGGAGUAGGACAUGGGUGUUUCCAGAUUCCUGCCUUUUUACAAUUUUAAUAGCACACUGGUUUCUAGCACAUCAGUGAACAAAGAAAAUAACCCUUCUCUACAAGAGAUCCAGAGAAGAGGUAACAAGAUUUCUUCCUACCAAAGGUCAUCUCACACAGGGGAGUUGCCAUUGGAGAUGUGUGUGAUGGGCUGCAUUAGUCAGGGUUCCCUGGAGAAACAGACCAAUAAGAGAUUAUCUCGCUAUGUCUGUCUGUCUGUCUAUCUCUCUAUCUCUCUAUCUAUCUCCCUAUCUCUCUCUCUCUCUAUCUAUCUACCUACCUACCUACCUAUCCUAUCAUUUUUAUUCAUUAUAUGAAAUUGGCUCAAUAAACUAUGGAGGCAAGAAAGUCCCUCAUCUGCAGAGCUGAUGUCACGGUUUGGGGACCAUCAGGCAACUGAAUUCUCUUUUCCUCAGGGGAGGACUGGCUUUUUGUUCUAUUCAGACCUUCAGUGGAUUGAAUGAGGAGGACAAUUUGCUCUACUUAGUCUACUGAUUGAAGGGCUAAUCUCAUCCAAAAAAACACCCUCACAGAAACACUCAGAAUAGUGCCUGGGAACCAAAUAUCUGGGCACUUUAUGGUCCAGCCAAGGUGACACCUAACAUGUUAUCUCAGCUGGCCUGGAACCAUAGCUUGAGCUUCUCUUUGCUCUAGCAAGAAUACACCUGGCAGAGUUCCCAUUGCAAUUCAGUGGGUUAAGAACCUGACAGAGUGUCCAUGAGGAUGCGGGUUUAAUGCAGGGCCUUGUUCAUGGGUUAAGGAUCUGGUGUUGCCCUGGCUAUAGCGUAGGCCUGCAGCUGCAGCUCCAAUUCAAUCCCUAGCCUGGGAGCAUCCAUAUGCUAUAGUUUCGGCUGUAGGGAGAACAAGAAGAAUGCAUAUGUAAGAAGAAUGCAUUCUGUACAGCAGAAAUUGGCACAACAUUGCAAAUCAACUGUACUUAAAAAAAAGUAUACACUUGGCUUCUGACUAGCUUCUGACUAUGCUUCACAGGAGAGAGCUCACAGGUUAUUUUCUUAACCCUUCCUCAAGAAAACUAUAAAUGCUGCCUAGCAUAUCAAAUAUAGAUGGUUAAGGGUACUGGGGAGCAAUGUGGAAGCAUGAGUUAAGGGUGGGGAGAAGGUUCCAGAGAAAAGGGAAAUGCAUUUCAGUGAAGCUUGCAUAGUGUCACUAGGCUGGGGAAACAAAAAUAGGAGUUCAGAACCAGCAAGAAGUUAGAGCAAAUUCCUAAGUAUCAAAUUCCCAGAGAAUAGAGAAUCACAAGGAAAUGAAUCUGAUGUCCUGUAUACAAUUUCCCUCCAAGGAAUUUUCUGACUCCUAAGUGGUGAAUGCCUUGGGAUAAGAUAUUGAAUAAUCAUGCAAAAUUCACCUACUAAAAUAAUAGAGAUUUUAGCAGGCUCAUAGGACUCAGAAGACGAAAAUCGGUGUAUGAACGUGUGAGGGGGGAGGGACUCUGGAAAACAGCCCAGGUUUUCAGUUGAGACCUCCUCACUGCUACAUCAUGGGGGGAGGGAGAAGGCCAAAUAAAUCAGCCCUCAAAAGAGACCAAAACUCAGCCUUGACUAAUAAAAUAAUCAAGGGACUCUUUCUAUACUUUAUCUGCCUGAGAGAAGAAAAUCAAAUCUCCUCUUGAGGAAGGAAAUAGUCAAAGCUGCAUAAUUCUUUUUUUUUUUUUUUUUUNUAAUUUUUUUUUUUUCUUUUUAGGACUGCACCUGUGGCAUGUGGAGGUUCCCAGGCUAGGCGUCCAAUUGGAGCUGUAGUCACCGGCCUAUGCCAUAGCCACAGUAAUUCAGGAUCCAAGUUGCAUCUAUGACCUACACCACGGCUCAUGGCAAUGCCGGAUCCUUAACCCACUGAGCAAGGCCAGGGAUUGGACCCGCAUCCUCAUGCAUGCUAGUCGGGUUCAUUAACUGCUGAGCCAUGAUGGGAACUCCAAAGCUUCAUAAUUCUUGAUACACAUUGUCUGGCAUAAAAAAUGACUGGGCAUAUCAAAUAACAGAAAAAAAACCCCUGAAAACUAAGAGAGAAAUAGAUACUAAAUAUUCACAGGUAUCUAGAUAUUGGCAUUAUCAAACAGACUUCAACCAUGAUUAUUUUAUAUUAAUAAAUAGAUGAAAAGAAUUUCACAGAGAAAUGAAAUCCAUAAAAAGAGUCAAAUCAAAAUUUUAGUGUUAAAAAUUUAAAGUAACUGAAAUUAAAUAAAGAAUCUAGAAAACAUGGACAACUUUAAAGCGCUCAGCUCUGUUCUUGGCUGGAGUGAAGGGAAAAGAACAUUUAUGCCCAUUUUCACGGAUUCUAUAAAACUCAAAGAAAUUUGAAGUGGCCUUAAUGAUAUUUCCCAUACAGGGUCCUAUGUAUUUGUGUAGGCUUUACCUGGCCAGAGGUUUGGUCCCAACAUUUGAAGCCUGUACACCUGCGAGCCGGAGACAAAAUAAAUGUACCUGGGACACUGCUACACUUGCAGAGAUGUGGCAUUACAGAGAUGAUUCAAGACUCACAGGUCUUCACAGGAUCUUUAAAAAGAUAAGUUUUAGGUAGCUGUUGACCUACUUGAAAAUGACCAGUUUCUUCUAGAUGGUUAAAAGUUCAGUUUGGAGUAUAAAUACAUCUGGAAUCGCCACUUGGAGGGAACCUUAAUUCACAGAUGAUUGAAAACAGUUUAGGAAGAGAGGGAAGAAGCAACAGUGAAUGAUGACUAAAAAUGAUAUUUUCUAGAGGAAACCCACAGGGCUCUCACCCCCAUGUCUCAGCCUCUGCAGUCUCAUCCUGAUCCCUGGUCCAGUGGUUCCCUUGGCGUGCCACACUGUCACAGCAAAUAUCCCUGUGGCAACAGUGGUCUCGCCCUCCAGAUGAAAUCUUUCAUGCCUGUGGAAGGCCCCUGAAGGCACUACAUUCACACCUUUGGGUUUUGAAGAUAUGCUCCCUGCAUGGUUUCACUAGGAGGGCUCAUGUCUGACACCCGGACCAGUGGCUGCUUAGGGAAUUUGGACCUCCCCUAGAACUAAGCAAGGCUCUGUGGGAACAAAGGGCUGCUUUGAGGGCUGGGGCAACCAAAAGAAGAGGGUGGGGGUAAAACAAGUGUUCACUGAGCACUUACUGUAUACCGGAUGCUCAAUGCUUCACGCUUAUAACCGCAUUUGAUUUUUGCAAUUCUGUACAUUGGGUUUUAUAUUUUCCAUUUUGCAGAAGAGGCUAAGGCACAGAGGAGUUAAGCAACAUGGCCAAGUUUGUCCGACCAUGGGAGGUGGCAAGAAUUCACUCCUGUUUGGAAGUUUGCCUCACCUGGUCUUCCAAGGAGACGGGAAAAAAAAAAAAAAAA